rnacentral:rRNA from 1 species
GUGAGGAAUAUUGGACAAUGGGCGCAAGCCUGAUCCAGCCAUGCCGCGUGCAGGAAGACGCAUCUAUGGUGUGUAAACUGCUUUUGUACGGGAAGAAACACUCCCUCGUGAGGGAGCUUGACGGUACCGUAAGAAUAAGGAUCGGCUAACUCCGUGCCAGCAGCCGCGGUAAUACGGAGGAUCCAAGCGUUAUCCGGUAUCAUUGGGUUUAAAGGGUCCGUAGGCGGUUUAAUACGUCAGUGGUGAAGGCCCAGCGCUCAACGAUGGAACGGCCAUUGAUACUGUUAGACUUGAAUUACAAGGAAGUAACUAGAAUAUGUAGUGUAGCGGUGAAAUGCUUAGAUAUUACAUGGAAUACCAAUUGCGAAGGCAGGUUACUACUUGUGGAUUGACGCUGAUGGACGAAAGCGUGGGGAGCGAACAGGAUUAGAAACCCGAGUAGUCC